rnacentral:rRNA from 1 species
GACAGAGGCCUCGAGCGUUAGGCGGAAUCACUGGGCUUAAAGCGUGUGUAGGCGGAUCGUUAAGUGCCUUGUGAAAUCCCACGGCUUAACUGUGGAACGGCUGGGCAUACUGGCGGUCUUGAGCCAUCUAGGGGCGACUGGAACAACGGUGGAGCGGUGAAAUGCGUAGAUAUCGUUUGGAACGCCAAAGGUGAAAACAGGUCGCUGGGGAUGAGCUGACGCUGAGACACGAAAGCCAGGGGAGCAAACGGG